AGAGUUUGAUCAUGGCUCAGAGCGAACGCUGGCGGCGUACUUAACACAUGCAAGUCGAACGAGGAUCUUCGGUGUAGCAAUACAUUGGCGGUCCUAGUGGCGCACGGGUGAGUAACACGUGGGUGACCUGCCCUGGAGUUCGGGAUACCCCCUCGAAAGGGGGGCUAAUACCGGAUACGUUCCUCGGUUGAAAGAUCGGGGAGGAAAGGUGGCGUAAGCUACCGCUCCUGGAGGGGCUCGCGGCCUAUCAGCUAGUUGGCGGGGUAACGGCCCACCAAGGCUAUGACGGGUAGCUGGUCUGAGAGGACGACCAGCCACACGGGGACUGAGACACGGCCCCGACUCCUACGGGAGGCAGCAGUAAGGAAUAUUGGUCAAUGGACGCAAGUCUGAACCAGCCAUGCCGCGUGAAGGAUGAAAGUCCUCUGGAUUGUAAACUUCUUUUACAGGGGAAGAAACCUCUUGAUUCCUCAAGAGUUGACGGUACCCUGGGAAUAAGCACCGGCUAACUCCGUGCCAGCAGCCGCGGUAAUAC
rnacentral:rRNA from 1 species